GCCACAGCUCAGAACUUGACACCUAAAGUUCUUAAGCACCUCCCACCACACCUAAACAGGGCCCGUUGAAGGCCCUCCUGAAGGCCCAAAAUAAAUAGGUCACACCCGACAUCUGACAGAUGUACACAAUCCCUCCUGAAGUACCCAAGAACCAUGCCUUCCAAUUCCCCAUGCCUCACUGCCACUCCACCUAUCCGCCUAAUAAAGACCACCAUCAUUUUAUUGAUUUAUCCCUGACACCAAGCCACCGCGGCCAGGUUCUUGGCAUGUUGCCAGUGAACCGAGGAAUCAUCUCGGACCACACAACCACCACACCUGGAGCCAGCUCCCGUAGCCGGUCCACAUUCCUCUUCAUCCAUCUGACCAAUUCCUUUUUUGGGACCAUGCCCAGAUCAUUACCUCCAGCAUGGAUUAACAGUACAUGCAAAAUGGUCCCCCUUGCCACCCUCCGGAAAAUUUGUCCACUAAUGCCUUGCCAAC